rnacentral:rRNA from 1 species
UACGUAGGGGGCGAGCGUUACCCGGAUUUACUGGGCGUAAAGCGCGUGUAGGCGGCUGGCCAAGCGUGGUGUGAAAUCUUCGGGCUUAACCCGAAAACUGCAUUGCGAACUGGUCUGGCUAGAGUGUGUGAGAGGGUAGUGGAAUUCCCGGUGUAGCGGUGAAAUGCGUAGAUAUCGGGAAGAACACCCGUGGCGAAGGCGGCACUCUGGGACGGUACUGACGCUGAGACGCGAAAGCGUGGGGAGCGAACAGG